rnacentral:tRNA from 1 species
GCCUGGGUAGCUCAUUCGGUUGAGUGUCUGACUUCGACUCAGGUGAUGAUCUCACAGUUUGUGGAUUCGAGCCCCAUGUCGGGCU